GCCCGGGUAGCUCAGUAGGUAGAGCGCCUGGCUGUUAACCAGGAGGUCGCAGGUUCGAGUCCUGCCCCGGGCG
rnacentral:tRNA from 1 species